GACGAACGCUGGCGGCGUGCCUAAUACAUGCAAGUAGAACGCACAGUUUAUACCGUAGCUUGCUACACCAUAGACUGUGAGUUGCGAACGGGUGAGUAACGCGUAGGCAACCUGCCUGGUAGCGGGGGAUAACUAUUGGAAACGCUAGCUAAUACCGCAUAAUAUUAAUUAUUGCAUGAUAAUUAAUUGAAAGGUGCAAUUGCACCACUACCAGAUGGACCUGCGUUGUAUUAGCUAGUAGGUGAGGUAACGGCUCACCUAGGCGACGAUACAUAGCCGACCUGAGAGGGUGAUCGGCCGCACUGGGACUGAGACACGGCCCAGACUCCUACGGGAGGCAGCAGUAGGGAAUCGUCGGCAAUGGACGAAAGUCUGACCGAGCAACGCCGCGUGAGGGAAGAAGGUUUUCGGAUCGUAAAGCUCUGUUGUAAGAGAAGAACGGGUGUGAGAGUGGAAAGUUCACACUGUGACGGUAUCUUACCAGAAAGGGACGGCUAACUACGUG
rnacentral:rRNA from 1 species